GUCUUUGUGGCUCAGUGGUAGAGCAUCGGAGCGCAAAUCCGAAGGUCUGAAGUUCGAUUCUUCAUGGGGACU
rnacentral:tRNA from 1 species